CAGAAGUUUACAUAAACUGAGUUGAAAUGUAUUUGGCUGAAGUGUUUCACAAUUCCUGACAUUUAAUCCUUGUAAAAUAUUUCCCUGUCUUAGGUCAGUAAGGAUCACCACUUUAUUUUAAGAAUGUGAAAUGUCCGAAUAUUAGUAGAGCUAAUUAUUUAUUUCAGCUUUUAUUUCUUACAUCACAUUCCCAGUAGGUCAGAGGUUUACAUUCACUCAAUUAGUAUUUGGUAGCAUUGCCUUUAAAUUGUUUAACUUGGGUCAAAUGUUUCAGACAGCCUUCCACAAGCUUCCCACAAUAAGUUGGGUGAAUUUUGUCCCAUUCCUCCUGACACAGCUGGUGUAACUGAGUCAGGUUUGUAGGCCUCCUUUCUCACCAACGCUUAUUUAGUUCUGCCCACAAAUGUUCUAUAGGAUUGAGGUCAGGGCUUUGUGAUGGCCACUCCAAUACCUUGACUUCGUUGUCCAUUUUGCCACAACUUUGGAAGUAUGCUUGUGGUCAUUGUUCAUGUGGAAGACCCAUUUGUGACCAAGCUUUAACUUCCUGGCUCAUGUCUUGAGAUGUUGCUUCAACAUGUCCACAUAAUUUUCCUACCUCAUGAUGCCAUCUAUUUUGUGAAGUGCUCCAGUCCCUCCUGCAGUAAAGCACCCCCACAACAUGAUGCUGCCCCUCCCGUGCUUCACGGUUGGGAUGGUGUUCUUCGGCUUGCAAGCCUCCCCCUUUUUCCUCCAAACAUAACGAUGGGCAUUAUAGCCAAACAGUUCUAUUUUUGUUUCAUCAGACCAGAGGACAUUUCUCCCAAAAAUACGAUCUUUGUCCCCAUGUGCAGUUGCAAACCGUAGUCUGGCUUUUUUAUGGCGGUUUUGGAGCAGUGGCUUCUUCCUUGCUGAGCGGCCUUUCAGGUUAUAUCGAUAUAGAACUUGUUUUACUGUAGAUAUAGACAUGUUUGUACCUUUUUCCUCCAGCAUCUUCACAAGGUCCUGUACUGUUGUUCUGGGAUUGAUUUGCACUUUUCGCACCAAAGUACGUUCAUCUCUAGGAAACAGGGCGCGUCUCGUUCCUGAGCGGUAUGACGGCUGCUUGGUCCCAUGGUGUUUAUACUUGCGUACUAUUGUUUGUACAGAUGAACGAGGUCUUGGCUGAUUUCUUUUGACUUUCCCAUGAUGUCAAGCAAAGAGGCACUGAGUUUGAAGGUAGGCCUUGAAAUACAUCCACAGGUACAUCUCCAAUUGACUCAAAUUAUGUAAAUUAUCCUAUCAGAAGCUUCUAAAGCCAUGACAUCAUUUUCUGGAAUUUUUCAAGCUGUUUAAAGGCACAGUAAACUUAGUGUAAUACAGUGAAUUAUAAGUGAAAUAAUCUGUCUGUAAACAAUUGUUGGAAAAAUGACUUGUAUCAUGCACAAAGUCGAUCUCCUAACUGACUUGCCAAAACUAUACUUUGUUUACAAGAAAUUUGUGGAGAGGUUGAAAAACAAGUUUUAAUGACUCCAACCUGAGUGUAUGUAAACUUCCGACUUCAACUGUAUUUGUUUUUUUCAUUCGUUUUUCUGUACCCAUUGCCUGAUUUAUGAAAGUCAACAAUCAUUUAUCUGUUUUUAUUUGUGAGUGCUUUGCCUUUCCCUAUGGUGAUGGAUGACAAAGGGAUUUUACAUGAGGUAACACGCAUCUUUAUACCCCAGCAAAACCGGAAGCCAUUGAAGGUGGUGGGUAGUUCCCCCUGUCCCUCUGGUCUCUUGUGGUCAGUGCAGUGGCUUGUGGAUUCUCCUGUCAGCUGGUCUCGGUGCUGCCAUCUCUUCAGCUGCAGCUGCUGUAGCCAGUACAUCAUGGCCUCCUGGUUAGCUGCCUGAAACAGACAGAAGAGAUAUUGUUAGCCUACUGUACAUACACGAGUGUGCCAUGAGUCAGAAUAUCUGUAAUGCAUGACUUCUGAAAUGUUUUGGAGUUCUUUUCAAAUCAGAAUGUACCUUUGUGGACCAAGAUAAAGUAUUCCAAUGGCAAUGUGUGAA